GGAGGCGCCGCCGUCGAGGUCCUAAAGGAGGUGCCGCCGCCAUCGUUGUGGACCUCCGGGUGGCCAUCGGGACACCUCUGCUGAGGUACGCCUUCGCCUUCGCACGCUGCCGACCUCCCAGAGGAGACGCCGCCGCCAUCAACCUCCAAGGGGAGACGCCGCCACCACCUGCGCUAAACCCUAGGCAUCAACCACCGUGCUCCCGUCGUCUGGUUCCUCCUGCGUUCGCCACCAUGCGAUCGGCUUCCUCCCUCAGGUUCUUGUACGGAAUAUACCACCAGAUCCUGAUGAAUCAGUUAGCAAGCUUGUGGAACAUUUCUUCCUUGUCAAUCAUCCUGAUCAUUAUCUGAAACAUCAGGUAAUCACUAAAUUUUGGAACAUCUCCCAUUUGAAGAAUCAUCUGCAAAUUCAAAUGUAAGGAAGUGUGCAGUGCAAGCAAUUAUCAGGGUAAAUCUAUUUCUCAAUUAUGUAUUUUUACCACUUCAUCAGGAGUGUAAACUGAUACUAUUUCCAACUACAAAGUGUUGGCUGCCCAGGAAGAAGGAAAGGUCAGUCCAGACAUGACAUUUAACUCUAAUAAUGGAGGUAUGUAGUGCCUACUGCUCCCUUGUCCCUUGCUACCGUCUGGGGAUGCUCGGCUCGCAGUCCCUGCUCUCAUUUUCCUCCAGCCUCUGGUAACCCUCCUCCUCACCCGCCUCGCCGAAGCGGGAUUCACAGGGAGCAUCAGGUACAACUUAUGUGGGGAUGAACCAUCAGCUAAAGGGAGUGAUAGGAAAAUAUUUUGUUGAAUGCAAUGGGAAGGCGAAAAACGACACGCCUUGGCGAAGCAACUCUAAGAUUCGGUAAGGCUAAUCAAGUCUGCAAUCAAAUCCAAGAGCAGGGGCAGAGAAAACCGUUAAAAUACUUUUUAGCUAUUGAUUGAAGUGACUGGUAAUCAGUAGCAGGAGCAACAGUUGUAGUAAGAACCUACCUAGGCAUAUUUUCUCUCUUUCCUAUCACAUGGCACAUUGAAUAACUUUAUAGUACAAAUACAUUCACAUAUGUUAUUUUAAAUUAUCAUGUCAUGGAGGUUCUCGUUAUUUCGAAUCUUUGGUUGGAACCUUCAUUUUGUGUUAUUAAAUGCACAUGGUAUUCAGUUAUCGCCAUUAUGGUGAGAAGACUUUGAUCUUGAUAUAUCAGAUUUAAGCCUCUUACACCAUAGGAGGUCCUCCUUUUGGUGAUAUUCACUCAUAUGUCAUUUUAAAUUAUCAUGUCAUGGAGGUGCUGGGUAUUUCGAAUCUUUGGUUGGAACCUUCAUUUUGCGUUAAAUUCACAUGGUAUUCAGUUAUCUCCAUUAUUGCCAGUAGCAACGCACAAGCACUUUCUAUUAAAUGCACAUGCUAUUUUCUUUUGUAUCAUGUCAUUUUGUGGUCAUUAACAAUCAGAUGGAUGAAACUGAUCUUGUUUUGUGCAUCAUGGAUUUUCCUCAACUGAAUGAGUAGAAACAUAAGUGUGCAAUGUAGUAGCCCCUCUAUUCCAUUGUUAUAAAUAUUAUAGUUUUUCAAUCUGCUGACCUGAUCGUAACAGCUGUUUAAAAGGAAGUGAUCACAUCACUAUUUAGAUUUUACUUUUUUUUUGUAUGCUUAAACAUAAGAUUAGUUUGUCCCCUUUCUUUUUACCCUUCAUGCUAACAUAAUAAAUACAUAUUUGAACUGAAUUGGUUGUAUUACAUAUGCCACGAAGGAUGUCGCCGCUUGAAGCUCGAUUUCCAUCAGCCCCUCUUUUAAUUCACUUGCAUUGUUUCAGCUUUGCAUUGUACUUCUUUGACGAAUUACCUCAUCCAAUCGGCUUUAAUUCGGAGCGUCAGUCUUACUAAUUAUCAUUGCCUUAACUUUCCAUAUGAACCUCUUACAGGAAACAAGGACUCCUAUUUGUCUGUAGUACUGCCCAUGAGACUCAACCUUGUUUUACCUUAAUUAUCAUGGUGUGCCUUUUUUUAUAAUAGCUCACCAUUUUGUUAGUGGCAAUAAAAUGCAUCUUUAGGCACACCUAUAGCGCACAUGUGAUGAUGUACAGAUGAAAGAAAGAUCUUAGAAGCUGAGAAGCCGAGAGCUGGAGGAACAAGGAGAAGCUAAAAGGACAGAAGAAGUCAGAGCAUGUGGAGCUGUUGGGCAAGCAGAGUUCUAUCUGGGUAUUUAGGUAGCUGAGGAUAAAAGGGAAAAGGAAAAUGUUGACGAUAUAGUUACUCAAUGCUGAGAAUGUUGCAUGCAUACUUUGUUGCCUAUAUAUCAUUGGCUUUGUAUUGAUCCAGGCAAGAACAAAUCAGACGGAACAAGUUUGCUACGGGUGGGUGUGCAUCAAGCUGCUUCGUUGCCGGCGGCGAGUAAUCUCACACAUGUUUAUGGCGCAUAUGUACCAGAAAAUUCAAAAGGUUCUGAUCAUACGUGCGAGGGGAAUCAGGUAGGGCUUGAUGCGCCUUCCAUACGAAAUGUUGAUGAGAAUUACCCAAGUAGUCCAGAUGCAUGUCAGGUUGUUCGCUUGGUCUGCGCCAACGAGCAUCUCCUACAAGUCAUCAUCUCUCUCUUUGUCGGCUCCAUGUUGUAGCCUGCUAGGAGUCCUACCUUGCCAUGGAGCAUGUCCUUUGUCAUGGGUCGUACUGAGGACGCAGUGACAUGCAAGGCGAGGGAAAUUGAAGCCAAAACAUGCAGGACGGCCAGGAGUGUGCCAUUUUUUCUAUGACAGGGGGUGGUUCUUCAAUCUUCAGGGAAUCAAGCGGUAGCAUCAGAUGCUGACAUGCAUGGAAGCAGUAAACAUUGAUAAGAGUACAAGCAUUGGAGGAGUACUCACCACAUUCGAGGAAGUCGUCAUCAUGGUGGUGGUGGUCGAGGAAGUCGUAGGUGCUGGUGGCAUCAUCACGGAGCAGGCACCAUCUUCUCCUCGACUUAAAAUGUGGGAUGCAGCAACCUUGUCAAAGUAGCAUCUGUUCCUUUGUUUCCAAAUGUUCCAGGCGUCCGGGACUUUGAUUGCAUUGAACAAUGGGUGUGGCCAUGAAGACUUCACUGCAUCAAACAUCUCCUGAAGCUCCAAUGGUGUGGUGUUGCACAAAAGACAGGAGUGACUCCAAUAUCAAAAUGUCUCUGGUGGAGCAUGUCCCUUAUGUUGACUUUGUCCAUUAACAUCAGCCAGGUGAACACUUUUAAGUUUCAUGAUACACUUUGUCUUCCAGAUCAUUGUGAUGUAUGCGGGUGGCUGCAGUUCUCUGAAGAAGAAGUUGGUGAAUUUCUUGGGCCGAAACUGAACAUCUCCCCAACAAGUAAUCCAUUCAUCAGCCAUUAUUGGUUCCAAGUAGAGAUCAUUCAUAUGAUUCUGCAGAUAUGUUAAUUCAUGUACGCCUCGAUUGAUAGAGUGAGGUAAAAGUUUUUAGAAGCCUGUGGUCUGUCUUGGAAUUGCACUAUAGAAAUAUCCUCCUCCCUUGUGGAAGUGAACAUGUGUGGCAGCUUGUUGGAAAGGGGUUCGUCAUCGAUCGGAAUAUCUUUCCAUAGAAGAAUUGUGUCGCCAGCUCUAGGAAUACAAGUUGUAACCCCUCUGUAUAUGUCCAUCAACGAGAACACAUCGUUUUGUAUAUCUUUUCAUAAAAGAAUUGUGUGAAAAUUUCUUA